GGUCCUGACCAUCAAUCAGAACGUGUCGGACUCAUCAGCUAAGACUCCCAACAGAGUAGAACAAACGUCGACCAAAUAUCAGCUACAGUCAACACUGAAUACCUACCAUAAAUCAGGAGGAAGCAGUGAAACCUAUGGGGAGGCUCAGGACCAGCAGAAGGGCCAGUGUCCCGGGAAUGGUAAAUAUUAGAUGACCAGAUUUGAUCAUGAGCCCAUGCAGGACACUGAGUGAUUCCGAGCAACACUUGGGAUAUCAUAAAGCAGGCACAGCAGUCUGGCAAGUUAAUCCCCAAUCACUCUUGU